AACGAACGCUGGCGGCAGGCUUAACACGUGCAAGUCGAGCGCCCCGCAAGGGGAGCGGCAGACGGGUGAGUAACGCGUGGGAAUCUACCCAUCUCUACGGAAUAACGCAUGGAAACGUGUGCUAAUACCGUAUACGUCCUUCGGGAGAAAGAUUUAUCGGAGAUGGAUGAGCCCGCGUUGGAUUAGCUAGUUGGUGGGGUAAAGGCCUACCAAGGCGACGAUCCAUAGCUGGUCUGAGAGGAUGAUCAGCCACACUGGGACUGAGACACGGCCCAGACUCCUACGGGAGGCAGCAGUGGGGAAUAUUGGACAAUGGGCGCAAGCCUGAUCCAGCCAUGCCGCGUGAGUGAUGAAGGCCCUAGGGUUGUAAAGCUUUUUCACCGGUGAAGAUAAUGACGGUAACCGGAGAAGAAGCCCCGGCUAACUUCGUGCCAGCCGCCGCCGUAAGAC
rnacentral:rRNA from 1 species